rnacentral:rRNA from 1 species
GAAAACGGGUGGUAAUGCCGGAUGCUCCAGUUGAUCGCAUGGUCUUCUGGGAAAGCUUUCGCGGUAUGGGAUGGGGUCGCGUCCUAUCAGCUUGACGGCGGGGUAACGGCCCACCGUGGCUUCGACGGGUAGCCGGCCUGAGAGGGCGACCGGCCACAUUGGGACUGAGAUACGGCCCAGACUCCUACGGGAGGCAGCAGUGGGGAAUAUUGCACAAUGGGCGCAAGCCUGAUGCAGCGACGCCGCGUGAGGGAUGGAGGCCUUCGGGUUGUAAACCUCUUUUAUCGGGGAGCAAGCGAGAGUGAGUUUACCCGUUGAAUAAGCACCGGCUAACUACGUGCCAGCAGCCGCGGUAAUACGUAGGGUGCAAGCGUUAUCCGGAAUUAUUGGGCGUAAAGGGCUCGUAGGCGGUUCGUCGCGUCCGGUGUGAAAGUCCAUCGCUUAACGGUGGAUCCGCGCCGGGUACGGGCGGGCUUGAGUGCGGUAGGGGAGACUGGAAUUCCCGGUGUAACGGUGGAAUGUGUA